rnacentral:lncRNA from 1 species
AAACUGAUUAACUGAAGGAAUAAAUAAACGGUUCUAUGAAUAUAUGUAUCCUUUAUGUUUGGUGUGUUCUCUAGAAUAAGGUUAGUAUCUGUGGCGAACAGCCUCCAAGAUGGCCUGCAAUGACCUCCAUCUCCUGGUAUUCACAAUCUUGUCUAAUCCCUUCCCACAUCACACGAGAGCUCGUCUGUGUGACCAUUAGAAUCCAGCAGAAGUGAUGGUAUUACACUUCUGAGAAUAGGCUAUAAAAAACACUCCAGGAGCCAGCCCUGACAGCCUAGUGGUUAAAGUUCAGUGUUCUCUGCUUCAGUGGCCCAGGUUUGGUUCUCAGGUGGGAAACCACACCACUCAUCUGUCAGUAGCCAUGCUAUGGUGGCAGCUCACAUAGAAGAACUAGAAGGACUUACAACUAGAAUAUGCAAUUAGGUACUGGGGCUUUGAGGAGAAAAAAAAGAGAGGGAGGUUGGCAACAGAUGUUAGCUCAGAGUGAAUCUUUCCCAACAAAAAAAAAGACUCUCUAGUUUCUAUCUUGGUGUGUGUUUCUCUCUUUACUCACCUUAGCAUAAACCAGUUGCCAUGUUGUGAGCAGUCCUAUGAAGAGGUCUUCAAGGAAAGGAACUGAGGUUCCCCACCAAAAGCCACUUGCAUGAGCUUGCAACCAGAUCCUCCAGACCCAGCCAAGCUUUCAGGUGACUGCAGCCCCAGGCAAUAGCUUGACUGAAACUUCACAAGAGACCCAGAGAUGCAGAGCCAGAACCAUCCAGCUAAGCUGCUGCCUGACUCCUGGUCCUCAUAAACCAUGUGAAUUUAAUUCGUUUUCCGGCCAGAAGGACCCAGAGCAGAUAGAGGAAAUGUCUUCCUCCCCUACACUUCCUUAUGAGGGAGAAAACAGACUUGAAUCAGAGCCAUCUCUACUACUUUUGGAAAAGGUUCUUGGAAAGUCUUGAGUUCUCAGAAGAGAUGAAAAAUGAAUUGAAUCCAAAUCUUGACUGGAAUUCAUAAAAGCACAGCUUUGUGACAUUUGUUUUCCUGCAUCAAAAAUGAAGACAUUAUCAUACUUAAAUAAUUACGGUAACCAACAAUGUGUUUUCUAUGGAUUGACCUGCAGAGGUGGCAAUUUUGUCUUCAAGAACACAGACCUUAGAGAUCUUGGGAGAAAGUGAAUUCUCACUAGAUAUUGAAAGCCUGAAUCUAGAAAACACUCAUUGUUCGGGACCCAUUCCUAUGUCUCUUACAAAGCAUUCCAUUUGGAUUAAACCGUAUGCACAGACAUUUCUUACCCUCCCUCAAAAGUCGUAAGAAGCUGAAACAAAA